UUUUGGAUAAACUUUAAAUACGUUUUGGAUAAACAUUAUGUAAACAACAAGUGUGUUGGGAAAUUGUUAACUUCUGUCAUUUGAUCUCUUGUGGAGAGUUGUCUUUUUGACAAUCAUACCACAUCUUCUUUUUAUAGAUAUUUAAGAGUUUGAAAAUCAAACUGAUACAAAAAGGUGUUAUUCAUAUCAAAAAUUAUGAUUGAAAAUUUUGUAAUAUGAUUUAAGGCAAGGAUAAGUUUUGUCAUUUAAUGGCACCUAUCACUACAUUCAUGCGAGAAAAGGCCCUCAUAUUGAUAUAAUUCAUUAAAACACCACUUUUGAAAAUUUCAGUUGCAGAAAAUAACUAGAGGCUUUAGAGCCUGUGUCGCUCACCUUGGUCUAUGUGCAAAUUAAACAAAGGACAUGUAUCUUUUUUUUGACAAAAUUGUGUUUUGGUGAUGGUGAUGUGUUUGUAGAUCUUACUAAACUGAACAUUUUUUCUGCUUACAAUUAUCUCUAUCUAUAAUGAACUUGGCCCAGUUGUUAGUGGUAAAAAUUUACAGAAUUUAUGAAAAUUGUAAUAAAUCGACUAUAAAGGGCAAUAACUCCUUAAGGGGCAGCAACCCAACAACGGGUUACCUGAAUGGUCUGAAAAUUUCAGGGCAGAUAGAUAUUCACUUAAUGAACAAUUCUAUCUAGAUUUGCUCUAAAUGCUUCGGUUUCAGAGAUAUGAGCCAAAAGCUGCAUUUUAUCCUAUGUACUAUUUUAGCCAUGGCAGCCAUCUUGGUUUGCGCCGCGGUAAUCGGACACAUUUUUUAAAUACCCGAAUGAUGAUUGUGGAUAAGUUUGGUUAAAUUUGUCGUAGUUUCAGGAGAGGAUUUUAGUAAGAUUACAAAAAUUUACGAAAAAAUUACUAUAAAGGGCAAUAACUCCUUGAGCAGUCAACUGACCAUUUUAGUCAUGCUGACUUAUUUGUAGAAAUUACUUUGCCUAACAUAAUUGAUGUUUACAGUUUAUCUCUAUCUAUAAUAAAAUUCAAGAUGACCAAAAACUGCAAAAUUUCCUUAUUAUUACCAAUUCAGGGGCAGCAACCUAACAACAGGUUGCCGGUUCAUCUGAAAAUAUCACAGCAGAUAAACAGUUUUACCCCCAUGUCAGAUUUGCUCUAAAUGCUUUGGUUUCAGACAGAGAUAUAAGCCAAAAUCUACAUUUUACACCUAUGUUCUAUUUUUAGCCAUGGCGGCCGUCUUGGUUGGUUGGCCGAGUCAUGGAACACAUUUUUUAAACAAGAUACCCCAAUGAUGAUUGUGGCCAAGUUUGGUUUAAUUUGGCCCAGUAGUUUCAGGAGAAGAUUUUUGUAAAAGUGAAUGACGACGGAUGACGGACACCAAGUGAUGAGAAAAACUCACUUGGCCCUUCAGGCCAGGUGAGCUAAAAGGAACUAUUAAAUUGACACUUUUAACUAAUUCUGCUUUCAUAUAUGCAAUUCAAACCUCAAACUUAAGCAAGGGAGUUCAAUUUCAAGUGCAUUUCUAUUUAAUAAAUAUUAUGUCUGCUCAAUUUC
rnacentral:lncRNA from 1 species